GCAUGCAAAGGUGAUCUGGCUGUGACAUCUGUCAACUUAUUGACCGCCAGGAUUAAUUCAGCUGAUCUGGCUGGCUAGGCAGGCGUCCCCUUCCUCCCUCAGCACUCCAUGUGCAUCUCUCCCGAAGCUGUGCACUCAGUCAAAGUGGAUGACCAUCUCCGACAGGAGGACCGGCCUUUGGUGAAGGGUACAGAGUAGCUGAGCUCCCCUGCUCAGCUCCCCUGACAAGCUCCAGACAAGCUCUCAAGAUUCAACAUAUUCAUUCAUGCAGUAGAGUUUUUUUUUUUUUUUGA
ensembl:misc_RNA 7SK 7SK RNA